GAUCCUGGCUCAGGACGAACGCUGGCGGCGCGCCUAACACAUGCAAGUCGAACGAGAGAGAGGGAGCUUGCUUCCUCAAUCGAGUGGCGAACGGGUGAGUAACGCGUGAGGAACCUGCCUCAAAGAGGGGGACAACAGUUGGAAACGACUGCUAAUACCGCAUAAGCCCACGACCCGGCAUCGGGAAGAGGGAAAAGGAGCAAUCCGCUUUGAGAUGGCCUCGCGUCCGAUUAGCUAGUUGGUGAGG
rnacentral:rRNA from 1 species